UGUCUACAGCUGAGAGUGAAGCGGAA
rnacentral:piRNA from 1 species